UACGUAGGGGGCAAGCGUUGUCCGGAUUUAUUGGGCGUAAAGAGCGUGUAGGCGGCCAGGUAGGUCAGCUGUGAAAACUCGAGGCUCAACCUCGAGACGUCGGUUGAAACCACUUGGCUAGAGUCCGGAAGAGGAGAGUGGAAUUCCUGGUGUAGCGGUGAAAUGCGCAGAUAUCAGGAAGAACACCCGUGGCGAAGGCGGCUCUCUGGGACGGUACUGACGCUGAGACGCGAAAGCGUGGGGAGCGAACAGG
rnacentral:rRNA from 1 species